UGCAAGUCGAACGCUCGUAGCAAUACGGGAGUGGCAGACGGGUGAGUAACACGUGGGAACAUACCCUUUGGUUCGGAAUAACUGAGAGAAAUUUCAGCUAAUACCGGAUGAGCCCUUCGGGGGAAAGAUUUAUCGCCAAAGGAUUGGCCCGCGUCUGAUUAGGUAGUUGGUGAGGUAACGGCUCACCAAGCCGACGAUCAGUAGCUGGUCUGAGAGGAUGAUCAGCCACACUGGGACUGAGACACGGCCCAGACUCCUACGGGAGGCAGCAGUGGGGAAUAUUGGACAAUGGGGGCAACCCUGAUCCAGCCAUGCCGCGUGAGUGAUGAAGGCCUUAGGGUUGUAAAGCUCUUUCGUCAGGGAAGAUAAUGACGGUACCUGAAGAAGAAGCCCCGGCUAACUUCGUGCCAGCAGCCGCGGUAAUACGAAGGGGGCUAGCGUUGUUCGGAAUUACUGGGCGUAAAGCGCACGUAGGCGGACAUUUAAGUCAGGGGUGAAAUCCCGGGGCUCAACCCUGGAACUGCCUUUGAUACUGGGUGUCUUGAGUACGAGAGAGGUGAGUGGAAUUCCGAGUGUAGAGGUGAAAUUCGUAGAUAUUCGGAAGAACACCAGUGGCGAAGGCGGCUCACUGGCUCGUAACUGACGCUGAGGUGCGAAAGCGUG
rnacentral:rRNA from 1 species